rnacentral:rRNA from 1 species
GACAUAGGUCGCAAACGUUAUCCGGAAUUAUUGGGCGUAAAGGAUGCGUAGAUGGUUCAGUAAGUUACUGGUGGGAAAUCGAGGCCCAACCUCGUGGAAGUUAGUAAUACUGUUGAACUUGAGUGCAGGAGAGGUUAACGGAACUUCAUGUGGAGCGGUAAAAUGCGUAGAUAUAUGAAAGAACAUCAAUAUGGCGAAGGCAGUUAACUAUUCUGCUACUGACAUUGAGGCAUGAAAGCGUGGGGAGCAAACGG